CGAUGUCUGAUUAGCUAGUUGGUGAGGUAAAGGCUUACCAAGGCGUCGAUCAGUAGCUGGUCUGAGAGGACGACCAGCCACACUGGGACUGAGACACGGCCCAGACUCCUACGGGAGGCAGCAGUGGGGAAUUUUGGACAAUGGGGGAAACCCUGAUCCAGCCAUGCCGCGUGAGUGAAGAAGGCCUUCGGGUUGUAAAGCUCUUUCAGCCGGAACGAAACGGUCACGGCUAAUACCUGUGAUCACUGACGGUACCGGAAGAAGAAGCACCGGCUAACUACGUGCCAGCAGCCGCGGUAAUACGUAGGGUGCGAGCGUUAAUCGGAAUUACUGGGCGUAAAGCGUGCGCAGGCGGUUUUGUAAGUCAGAUGUGAAAUCCCCGGGCUUAACCUGGGAACUGCGUUUGAAACUACAAAGCUAGA
rnacentral:rRNA from 1 species